AAAAAGUUUUAUUUUAGCUUAAAUAAUUAAUAAAUAAAUUACUUUAUAUGUAAAUUUUAGUAAGAAUAUAUUUAAUUUUAAAAAAAUUAAAUAUACAAUUUAUUUGCAGUAUUUAAUAUUAAAAUUUUAAGAAAUUAUGAUUUAGAAAUUUAUAAUAAUAUUAACAAAAUUUGUGCCAGCAGUUGCGGUUAUACAAAUAAUUAAUUUAAUUAUUUUUAAUUUAUAAUUAUAUGAAAAAAUAAUUUUACAUAUAAAGUAAUUUAUUAGGUGAAAUUUUAAAUUACUAAUAAGUUUAAUUUUGGAUUUAGAGGUUAUUAAAUUUUAUUAAAAACUAGGAUUAGAUACCCUAUUAUUAAAAUGUAAAUUUAAAAUAUUAAAUUAUUAAUAGUUAUUUUCUAGAAAGUUAAAAAUUUUGGCGGUAUUUUAGUCUUUUCAGAGGAACCUGUUCUAUAAUUGAUAGUCCACGAUUAGAAUUACUUAUUUUAAAAAUUUAUAUAUCAUCGUAGUUGAAUAUUUUAUUAGAAUUUUAAUAUUCAUAAUUUUUUAUUUUAAAAAUAAAUCAGAUCAAGGUGUAGUUUAUAUUUAAGAAGAAAUGGGUUACAAUAAAUUUAUUUAUGGAUAAUAAAUUUAAAAUUUAUUUAAAAUUGGAUUUGAAUGUAAUUUAAUUAAUUUAAAUUAAAUGAUUUUAGCUCUAAAAUAUGCACAUAUCGCCCGUCGCUCUCAUUUAAGUUGAGAUAAGUCGUAACAAAGUAAAUGUACUGGAAAGUGUAUUUAGGUAGCA
rnacentral:ncRNA from 1 species